CCUACGGGAGGCAGCAGUAGGGAAUUUUCCGCAAUGGGCGAAAGCCUGACGGAGCAAUACCGCGUGAGGGAUGACGGCCUGUGGGUUGUAAACCUCUUUUCUCAAGGAAGAAGUUCUGACGGUACUUGAGGAAUAAGCAUCGGCUAACUCUGUGCCAGCAGCCGCGGUAAUACAGAGGAUGCAAGCGUUAUCCGGAAUCACUGGGCAUAAAGCGUCUGUAGGUUGUUUAGUAAGUCUGCUGUUAAAGACUGGGGCUUAACCCCAGAAAAGCAGUGGAAACUGCUAGACUCGAGUGUGGUAGAGGUAGAGGGAAUUCCUAGUGUAGCGGUGAAAUGCGUAGAUAUUAGGAAGAACACCAAUGGCGAAGGCACUCUACUGGGCCAUAACUGACACUGAGAGACGACAGCUAGGGGAGCAAACGGGAUUAGAUACCCCGGUAGUCCUAGCCGUAAACGAUGGAUACUAGAUGUUGCACGUAUUAACCCGUGCAGUAUCGUAGCUAAGGCGUUAAGUAUCCGCCUGGGAAGUACGCUCGCAAGNGUGAACUCAAUGAAUUGACGNNGAGAGUGCGACGACGACGACGAGGGAGAGG
rnacentral:rRNA from 1 species